CAGGCUGUACCUUCCCCUGGGCAUGCUGGGAGAUGCCCGUCAUUCCCUUGCUGGCUGGGUGCACCAGCCUACCCGAGGCUGUCUCUUAGACAGCUAAGGAAUCUUGCCCCUUCUCUGAGGUUUCUGCUCAAUGACACCUUUUCUGGGGACAGUGGCUCUGAAGAUGGGGGCUUCCGGAGGUUGAGAGAGGCUGAGCCUUCAUGGAUCUCCAGUAUCUCCUGCCUUCUAUGCCUCUUUAGCAAGAUGCUUCUCCAACUCCUGUUUUUCCUCCUCGGAACUCUGGAAGGAUGCCCUCUGCAUUUUGGAUGUGCUUCCCAAGUGAUGCUCCAUCGACUAUUACUUUGGGAUGGGGAAAAGCUUCUGGGUCCAAGAAGCCUAGGAAACACAAAGUCAGACAGGCUAUGAUCUUGCAGGACUUAUCAGUGCCUUGAAUUAUUUUUAAUUUUUUUAUUUUUAUUUAUUUUUUUAGAGACAGGGUCUUGCUCUAUCACCCAGGCUGGAAUGAAGUGGUGGGAUUAUAGCAAACUGCAGCCUGGAAUUCCUGGGCUCAAGCGAUCCUCCUGCCUCAGCCUUCAGAGUAGCUGGGACUACAGGUGCAUGCCGCCAUGCCUGGCUAUCUUGAAUUAUUAAUAGCAGCUUUGAAAUACAAAAAUUAGCUGGGCGUGGUGGUGGGUGCCUGUUAUCCCAGCUACCCGGGAGGUUAAGGGAAAAUUACUUGAACCCGGGAGGUGGAGGUUGCAGUGAGCUGAGAUCGUACCACUGCACUCCAGCCUGGGUGACUCUGUCUUUAAAUAAAUAAAUACAUACAUACAUACAUACAUAAAAUAGAAGGGACCCUGGUGCACAGUGUUUGCUGGACCUAUGUGACACCAAAGUCAUUUUUCCCCAUGGGCUCUGUUUCAGGACAUCUUCUGGGCCACACAGGUCGAGAGGAUACCUCGGGAACUACUGGACCUGAAAUGUCAAAUCACCCUGCAGAGGUGUCAACUGAUAUUUCUCCAGCUCGGGUCCUUCGGCAGCUCUACCCACCAUUUGCUCCUUCUCACGUGGGCGCAGAGAGUCAGGAAGUGGCAGACAGAUGCUUCUUCGAGGGGCUGUGCAGCAAAGGCCUCUGGACCUCUCUUCCCCUCAGAAGAGACUAUGACAGCAGCAGAGAACAUGAAAGCUGAAAAAUGGGUCGAAGGAACCAAGGAGAAAACCUAUCCAUUUUACAGAAGGGGAAACUGAGAUUCAGACCCAGUAGCAGACCAGGGUGGAGAAUCUGGGCCUUGGGGCUCUGAUCUAGGGCUGUCCUCUGCUGGGAAUCCCCUAUGCACCCCCAGCUCUCCCUCUGGGCCUCAGGAAACGCAGCAUCAGCCCUGGUCCUCCCUUCCCUGGGGAGCAGAGCCACUUGGUGACCAAAAGGGGUCUCUCCAUACCUCCCACGCCCCUGGCCUCUGCCCAGUCUGCCUCCUCCUCCCCAAUCCCCCCCAGGACAUAGCCUGAAGAAGUGUUUGUACCUAAACAGUAUUUCCAGGGCAACUUGCAUUCCCCAGGGGGUGGGUGGUGAGAGGCUUGGGGGAGGAACUCCUCCAGCUGCCACAGGCCCUGUGACCCGCAGCCCCUCUCGGUUAAUGGGACUUGGGGCCUAAGAGCUGGUCUUACCCUUGAUCUUGGAGAGGGCCUGAGGAUGGAUGCAUGAACCACACGGCUUCCUUCUAUAAUGCAUCCUUCAUGGAUGAAGUGUGUGAGUGGGCGGGGACAGAGCCCAAAAGUUUCCUGAGCCCAACAAGGAACAGCAGCCCCCAGGGUACCCCUUUUCUUCUCCUGCUCCUCAGCGAGGGUGUCAAAGCCGAGAC
rnacentral:lncRNA from 1 species